UAAGCUUUAGGGUUAGGCCCAUUAAGGGGACAUUCUAUAUAAACCUUGUCUUAGAGAAAAUUUCCUCACACUUUCAUUUACAAGAUAUUUUGAGAGAGUUAGAGAGAGAAAGUGGGAGCAAAGAGGAAAAGGGUUAGAGAGAAGAGGAACUUGAAGAUUCAAGGAUUGGAAGAGAGCUAGGAGCUAAAUUGAAGCUUGAACUAGGGAAUUAAUCUAACUAAGGUAAGGGGGUUAGAAUUCAUCAUAAUCAUUUAUUGCCAUUUUUCAAUUGUUAUAUGAAUAAGUGCUUAAUUGAGUAAUUGAUUAAUUGUUCAGAAUUGUUAGAAUUUGUGCUCCAAUUAUAAUGACAUGUUUGAAUGCAUGAAGUUGUUGAUAAUUGAAUUGUUGUUGGUGAAAUUUCAUGUUCAAAGUAUGAGAGAGUGGUAUAUGUUGAAAUAUGCUCAAUUGGUUGAAUUAUGUUAUGUUGUUGUUGAAUUGUGAUAAGAUUCAUGAUCAAUUGAUGUUGUUGUUGCUAAGUGAUGUUGUUGCUGAUAAUUCAUGGCUUGGGUAUGCAUGAUUCAUGAUUUGUUGUUGAGAAACGAGAUGUUGUUGGUAGUUUGGUAAAAAUUGGUGAAUUGGUCCAAAUGUCAAUUGUUUUCAUGUUUGUUGAGUCCUUGUGAGUCAUAUUAGUCAUAUUGACCUGUAAACAACAUCUGAAAACACAUUUGGGCAUUGAGGGAUCAAAAUUGAGGAUUUUGGGUGAAAAGAGGUUGAAACCCGUAACAUUUUCUGCAGAACUAUGAACGUUCGCUUAAGGGGUCGCUUAAGCGAACCGGUAAGCGAGCAUUCAUAUGGUGUUCUGGGUUCAGUUCGCUUAAGCGCCCUACAAGCGAACCGAUAAGCGUACUUUCUGGUAGCUACUGGAACUCGUUCGCUUAAGCGAACCAUGUGGACGCUUAAGCGAACUGAUGAGCGUACUACAAGCGACCAACAAGCGUACACUUCAGGUGGCUACUAGACUCGUUCGCUUAAGCGAACCAGGUGAUUGCUUAAGCGAGCAAGCCCAGUUUCAGCCACUUUAAUCUUUUGUUCCGGGUCUUAGGGGGCCAAUCCGAGCUUUGUAAAAUGAUUCUUUCAACAUCUUUAACUACUGUUUAAACCCCUAAACCUACUGGAACAUGAUUAGCUUACCUAAACUUGAAAUUUUCCGCUUUGAGUCAUAACUUGGAAGUUUUUGGGAAUUUUAGACUUUUGUCGAAACAAACUUUUGCAAACUAAUGGAGCUUGCAAGUUGAACCUACAACUCAUAUAGACUUAGGUAAGGCUUGUGAGAUUGGUCAAACAUCUUAAUCAUGUCAAAAGUGAUAUUUCGGGUGGGAAUGUGAUAGAUUGUGAAAUUAGGUUUUUCCUACGAACUUAAGCUAUUCUUUAGACUAAUGUCUAAUAGUCCGUAAGUGGCUUAAGCUCAUGACUACAUGAUUGAUUAAGAUUGUUUGAGAACUUUUAACUUGUCUAUGUUAUUUUGCCUUGGGAAUUAUCAAUGUUGGCCGUUUGCCACUUGAUACGGAUUUGUCAGAAAUGUUCUUUUGAGGAAUCCGGAUUAUGAAUUAUCGUGACUAUUCUUAUAUGACUAAGUGAAGUUGUAUGAAUGAAUGAUUAUGUGUUGGAUAUGAUGUUUAUCAUGGGAUGUUGUAUGUUCUCUUACUUAGAAUGUAAGAAAUGCUUGAAAUGGUAAAACUGUAUGAGGUAGUUGAUGUUGAAUGACAUUGUUAAUUAUGAUGAUCAUGUUGAUGAUGUGAUGAUGAAUCUUAUUUGAAAUAUGACUUGAUUGUGUAUAGACAUGAUUUCUUGAUAAUGCAAUUGUGGUGGAGAUGAUCAACAUAUUUGAAAGUUGUCCUUUAUAUUGUGGUGGAAAUUGUGAGUUGAUGUCGCAUUAUCGAGUCUUUGUUACAUGUCCAUGCAUCAUAGUCGUGUUGAGAUUUUAUAUGAUGUUUUUGUUGCAUCAUUGGGUUUCGGCCUAGCAGAGUGAUCUAGUUUUGUGGACUUCGGUCUUGCAGAGAUCCAUUAGUGAUCUAGAUUGUGGGCUUCGGCCUUGCAGAGACCUUUGGCGGUCUAGAUAUAGGUGACGACCUUGAAGUGAAAUGGUACCACAUGCAUAUAUGUGUCGAACUAGGUGCACAUCAUGACAUGAGUCUUAUUGAUGAAAUGUGAAUGAUUAGUGUGCAUGAAUAAAUGUGAUUUGAUGAUUGUUCAUGACACAUGUGAUUGGUGAUUAAUUGAUGUAAGAUAUUGGGAUUAUGGUAUGAAUAUAUAUGUGGAUAUUAUUAUUUGAUUAAGUACAUGAUAUUUGAAUUGAAUUAUUCAUGUUAACUGUUAUGUGGAUUAUGAUGAUGUAAUACUUACCCCCAGUGGUUUUGACCGCCUACCUGUCUGUAUGGAUGGGUAGACGCUGUGCAGGAUUAGUU
rnacentral:lncRNA from 1 species